AGUUAGGUAUUUAUUCAGCUACGUGGUAGGUCAGCUGAAUCUGGGAUUGAUACCCUCGUUCAUUUUUGUUUCGUAUAGUAUGGCCGCAAAAAGUGGGAAUCAUUCAGAACUGGUAGAGGUCUUGUGCGCUUGAAGGUAGCUCAGUAGUUUGUUACUUGACGCAUAGGUAAUAAGUUGUGAAUUAUGGUGAACUGUUGAAAAAAAAAAGAUACAAAUCUAUCUAAACGCAGUAAAUGCGAAGGAACUAGGUCGUUUUCGGUACAAAAAAACAUAAAUUAUUUAAAAUUUCCAGUGCAAUGAAUUAUUUGUGAUGAUAACAAUAUCUGAUCCUGGAAUGGAUCCUUUAAUCCUGUGGAAUGGAAACAAUAUUUUUUAUGACUUAAACUUUUUCAACUGUGUUCGAAUCGGUGACUAAUUUCUGAAUUUUGGUGAAAAAGGAAACAAAAGUUCAAACAUUGUCUGAGCUCAAUAAAAAAAAAACCAGGAAGAGAUGUGCCCAAAAAAGGUAUUUCUGAUGGUUUGGAGAAAAGGUCGUCAUCUUCAACUUGAACAAGAACUAAUGUUUAUAAUGAGAAUAAAUUCAAGGUGCUAUACGAGUAUCUAUGACUAUGACUUGUAAUUUACAGACUUGGAAAAUUUGGUUUCCCAUUGACUUCUUGGGAAAAAAGUCAUUUGUUUUGUGUUGACCUAAAAGGAUUGUGUUUUUGUUGAAAUGGAGAUGAAUAAAGAUGUCAAAAGGUGUUUUAAGUUAUGACUUUUGGGAUUAUAAUGAACAAUGAAAGGAGGAAGGUUUAUCAUUGGUAUUGCAAACUGAUGAUAUCGCAAAAAAAUCCCUCUAAUAUGAAUACCGUUAUGCCUAUAGGACUGAACUGAACACUAACGUAUGAGUACCUACAUGAAUAAAUUUUAAGCGAAUUCAUUCAAAACCUUGAUAACACAGGCAACAUCACUGCAAGUAUAAAAAAGCCAUACGCAAACCCCUUCUGACGAAGGCACUAAGAACAAUGAAGAAACACGCACUUGUGUGAAAAUAAUUUGUUUACUCUUUCACUAUUUUGAAAUAAUCUUAAAUCUGCUUUAAAAUGUUCUAAAUAUCUAAACCAAUCUUGUAUUUUUAUCUAUUUGUUGAAACCAAACCUAUUAGAUAUUCACGAUUAUAAGCACAAUUUCAGCAAAUUUUUCAAAAACAUUUUCUAGUUUGCCCAACGUCCCACACAGAUACGAAAUUUUCAAAUAAAUAUUAUAUUCAUUUUAACGAAUUUGUAAAUUAUUAUUUUAAACAGAUUCUUGCAAUUUCGAUUGGCAAAGUAAGCGAACCGAACGGUCCUAAACUUUUUCGGAUACAUUUUAAUCAAAAAAAAGAAAUAAUUCGACUUUAUU